UACGUAGGGGGCAAGCGUUGUCCGGAAUCAUUGGGCGUAAAGAGCGUGUAGGCGGCCAGGUAGGUCCGUUGUGAAAACUCGAGGCUUAACCUCGAGACGUCGAUGGAAACCAUCUGGCUAGAGUCCGGAAGAGGAGAGUGGAAUUCAUGGUGUAGCAGUGAAAUGCGUAGAGAUCAUGAGGAGGACCAGUGGCGAAGGCGGGUCUCUGGACAGUUCCUGACACUGAGACACGAAGGCCAGGGGAGCAAACGGG
rnacentral:rRNA from 1 species